UUGAUUUUGGUCGCCAACGAGUGGCGGACGGGUGAGUAACACGUAGGUAACCUGCCCAGAAGCGGGGGACAACAUUUGGAAACAGAUGCUAAUACCGCAUAACAGCGUUGUUCGCAUGAACAACGCUUAAAAGAUGGCUUCUCGCUAUCACUUCUGGAUGGACCUGCGGUGCAUUAGCUUGUUGGUGGGGUAACGGCCUACCAAGGCGAUGAUGCAUAGCCGAGUUGAGAGACUGAUCGGCCACAAUGGGACUGAGACACGGCCCAUACUCCUACGGGAGGCAGCAGUAGGGAAUCUUCCACAAUGGGCGCAAGCCUGAUGGAGCAACACCGCGUGAGUGAAGAAGGGUUUCGGCUCGUAAAGCUCUGUUGUUAAAGAAGAACACGUAUGAGAGUAACUGUUCAUACGUUGACGGUAUUUAACCAGAAAGUCACGGCUAACUACGUGCCAGCAGCCGCGGUAAUACGUAGGUGGCAAGCGUUAUCCGGAUUUAUUGGGCGUAAAGAGAGUGCAGGCGGUUUUCUAAGUCUGAUGUGAAAGCCUUCGGCUUAACCGGAGAAGUGCAUCGGAAACUGGAUAACUUGAGUGCAGAAGAGGGUAGUGGAACUCCAUGUGUAGCGGUGGAAUGCGUAGAUAUAUGGAAGAACACCAGUGGCGAAGGCGGCUACCUGGUCUGCAACUGACGCUGAGACUCGAAAGCAUGGGUAGCGAACAGGAUUAGAUACCCUGGUAGUCCAUGCCGUAAACGAUGAGUGCUAGGUGUUGGAGGGUUUCCGCCCUUCAGUGCCGGAGCUAACGCAUUAAGCACUCCGCCUGGGGAGUACGACCGCAAGGUUGAAACUCAAAGGAAUUGACGGGGGCCCGCACAAGCGGUGGAGCAUGUGGUUUAAUUCGAAGCUACGCGAAGAACCUUACCAGGUCUUGACAUCUUGCGCCAACCCUAGAGAUAGGGCGUUUCCUUCGGGAACGCAAUGACAGGUGGUGCAUGGUCGUCGUCAGCUCGUGUCGUGAGAUGUUGGGUUAAGUCCCGCAACGAGCGCAACCCUUGUUACUAGUUGCCAGCAUUAAGUUGGGCACUCUAGUGAGACUGCCGGUGACAAACCGGAGGAAGGUGGGGACGACGUCAGAUCAUCAUGCCCCUUAUGACCUGGGCUACACACGUGCUACAAUGGACGGUACAACGAGUCGCGAACUCGCGAGGGCAAGCAAAUCUCUUAAAACCGUUCUCAGUUCGGACUGCAGGCUGCAACUCGCCUGCACGAAGUCGGAAUCGCUAGUAAUCGCGGAUCAGCAUGCCGCGGUGAAUACGUUCCCGGGCCUUGUACACACCGCCCGUCACACCAUGAGAGU
rnacentral:rRNA from 2 species